rnacentral:rRNA from 1 species
AUUGAACGCUAGCGGGAGGCUUUACACAUGCAAGUCGAACGAGUGGCGGACGGGGGAGUAAUGUAUGGGGACUGCCCGAUAGAGGGGGAUAAAUACUGGAAACGGUAGCUAAUACCGCAUACUAGCGGAUAACCCAUAUGGGAUUAGCUAGUAGGUGAGGUAAUGGCUCACCUAGGCGACGAUCCCUAUCUGGUCUGAGAGGAUGAUCAGCCACACUGGGACGGGGCCACGGCCCAGACGCCUACGGAGGCAGCGGUGGAGAAUGUUGCACAAUGGGCGCAAGCCUGAUGCAGCCAUGGCGCGUGUAUGAAGAAGGCCCUAGGGUUGUAAAGGUCAUUCCGUCGGGAGGCGUUACCGACAGAAGAAGCACCGGCUAACUCCGUGCCAGCAGCCGCGGUAAUUC